UACAGAGGGUGCAAGCGUUGUUCGGAAUUAUUGGGCGUAAAGGGCGCGUAGGCGGUGCGGUAAGUCCGCAGUGAAAUCUCUGGGCUCAACUCAGAGUCUGCUGUGGAAACUGCCGUGCUUGAGUGUGGGAGAGGUGAGUGGAAUUCCCGGUGUGGCGGUGAAAUGCGUAGAUAUCGGGAAGAACACCAAAGGCGAAAGCGCUCUGCUGGGCCGAAACUGACACUGAGAGACGAAAGCUAGGGGAGCGAAUGGG
rnacentral:rRNA from 1 species